rnacentral:rRNA from 1 species
AGAGUUUGAUCCUGGCUCAGGACGAACGCUGGCGGCGUGCCUAAUACAUGCAAGUCGAGCGGAGACCUUCGGGUCUUAGCGGCGGACGGGUGAGUAACACGUGGGCAACCUGCCUGUAAGACUGGGAUAACACCGGGAAACCGGUGCUAAUACCGGAUAACCCUUUCCCUCACAUGAGGGAAAGCUGAAAGACGGUUUCG